rnacentral:rRNA from 1 species
UACGUAGGUGGCAAGCGUUGUCCGGAUUUACUGGGCGUAAAGAGCGCGCAGGCGGUUUGAUAAGUCGAAUGUGAAAGCCCCCGGCUCAACUGGGGAGGGUCAUUCGAUACUGUCCGACUCGAAGGCAGGAGAGGGAAGCGGAAUUCCCGGUGUAGUGGUGAAAUGCGUAGAUAUCGGGAGGAACACCAGUGGCGAAGGCGGCUUUCUGGCCUGUUCUUGACGCUGAGGCGCGAAAGCCAGGGGAGCAAACGGG